rnacentral:lncRNA from 1 species
CUGGUCUUUUGAAGCUUCACAAUGAUAUACAAACCUGUGGAUACGAGGAUGUUCAGGUGAUGUGGGAAAUGCUUAGGAAAACGGAAUCCGAGUUGAUGUCAAAGCGGAAGCAAAGACCGUUUUGGAGGAUUUUCGUAUGGCACAACCAUAGUGCUGCCUCAUCAAUCCCCAUAAGCCAAGCUUAACUAAGCGUCUCUGCUUCAUACUGCAAUAAUAAUCGCCUCAUUUAAUUAGUUCCUGCAACAAGACAUGGAUGCCAUCAGUAUUCACAAGCCUAUGGCUAACAGUUGAGAGCUUGAUAUGGUCCAAGAGCAAUUGCAAGUGUGUCCAUAUCUGAAUGAUACUACCUCCUACCAAUAUAUAAGAUCACUCACUAUUGUAAAGCAGGUGAAGGGAGAGUCUUAUAUAUGUAUACCCAGUCAACCUCUAUUCCCAGUAUAAAGAAUACUGUAACAAUGGUGAAGUCAUUUGUAAAUAUAUCAAUCAUGUUUUGCCAAUAUCCAAAAUAAAGUCGUAACUUUAGCGGCUCAAUUUUGUACUUGCAUCAAGCGUGGGUGAUUCUUUCCUUCCAAAACCCAAAUAUAGUAUCGACUGUUGUAAUUCAGUAUAUUAGCACGGU